rnacentral:rRNA from 1 species
UACCAGCACCCCGAGUGGUCGGGACGAUUAUUGGGCCUAAAGCAUCCGUAGCCGGUUUUACAAGUCCUCCGUUAAAUCCAACUGCUUAACAGAUGGGCCGCGGAGGAUACUACAAGACUAGGAGGCAGGAGAGGCAAGCGGUACUCAGUGGGUAGGGGUAAAAUCUGUUGAUCCAUUGAAGACCACCAGUGGCGAAGGCGGCUUGCCAGAACGCACUCGACGGUGAGGGAUGAAAGCUGGGGGAGCAAACCGG